rnacentral:tRNA from 1 species
GCCUUUGCGGUGUAGUGGUCAGCACGUUCGACGCGUAUUCGAGAUGUUCUAGGUUCAAAUCCUGGCGAGGGCA